AUACGUAGGGUGCAAGCGUUAAUCGGAAUUACUGGGCGUAAAGCGUGCGCAGGCGGUUAUGCAAGACAGAGGUGAAAUCCCCGGGCUCAACCUGGGAACUGCCUUUGUGACUGCAUAGCUAGAGUACGGUAGAGGGGGAUGGAAUUCCGCGUGUAGCAGUGAAAUGCGUAGAUAUGCGGAGGAACACCGAUGGCGAAGGCAAUCCCCUGGACCUGUACUGACGCUCAUGCACGAAAGCGUGGGGAGCAAACAGGAUUAGAUACCCUGGUAGUCCACGCCCUAAACGAUGUCAACUGGUUGUUGGGAGGGUUUCUUCUCAGUAACGUAGCUAACGCGUGAAGUUGACCGCCUGGGGAGUACGGCCGCAAGGUUGAA
rnacentral:rRNA from 1 species